rnacentral:lncRNA from 1 species
NNNNNNNNNNNNNAAAUAUACAACUCUUUUUUUUUUCUUUUUCUUUUUUUUUUCUUUUUUAAAAAAUUAUCCUAUACAUAUGCAUAACAUGAAAUGCCUCUCCUAUACGUAUUAAAAUGAAAUUAAAAUUUUUUUUUUUUUUUUUUAAAAUUAUAAUUUACACUUAUGUUUUGAAUUUAUUUGAUGGUACUAAUGUAUGUAAAAAUGUAACUAAUAAAAAUGUGAAAAAAGUUGUAAAUAAAAAUGAUUAUAUAAGAACUGAACCCAUCAUAAACACUCAUAUGUUUUUUUUACGUCGACCAGAUUAUAAUUUAGAAAAUAAACAAAAACAAUCUUUUUUGGAACGUGUUAGUAAUAAACAAAUAUAUAAUAAUCGUACUAAUGAAGAUCGUAGAAAUAAUGAUAAUAAUGAUGAGGAUGAGGAUGAUGAUGAAAGUGAUAAUUCUGGUAGUAGUGAGAAUGAUAGUAACAAUGAAGAUGAUAAUAACACUAACGACGAAGAAAAUACAAAUUCCUAUAAUAGAGACGAAUAUAAUGAUGGUAAAAAUAAUUACUUAAAAAAUUUAACUCAACAUAACUUUAAUACAAAUAACUCAAACAAAAACGAAUAUAAUAACAACGAACUUAAUAAUAAAAAUAAAAAUCAUCAUAAAAAAAAAAAUAAAAAACAGACUGACACUGUUUUGAGUGGAGUUGACAACAAUAUACAAACUCCCAACAAUCUACCAACUAAUCUACCUACUAAUCUAGCUACUAAUGUAGGUGCUAAUCUACCUACUAAUCUAGCUACUAAUGUAGGUGCUAAUCUAGCUACUAAUGUAGGUACUAAUCUACCUAUUAAUGCAACUAAUAAUAUUCCCAACAAUAAUAUGUCAAGUAAUAUUAAUGUAAAUAAUGUUAGUAAUGGUAGUACUGAUUUUAGUAAUAUGCCUGUUAGUAAUAAUAUACCAGAUAAUAAUAAUACACCCACUAGUAGUAGUAGUAGUAGUAUUAGUGGUAUACCCGAUGCAAAUAAUAAAAUGAAUGAAUAUACAACAAACAAUAAUAAUCCAUAUGUACAAAAUAUAACAUCUAUUGCUACACCUACAACAUUAGAGCAAAAUACAAAAGUAAACUUUUUCAAUUUAAUGAAUAAUAAUAGUAUGUUUAAUACAAAAGAAAUUAUGUGUAAUUCUAUCAACUGUAAUGUAUUAUCUACUGAUAAGGAUGUGAAUGAACCUUUAAUAGGUAAAA